rnacentral:misc_RNA from 1 species
UAAUAAGUGUUUUAUGGCACCUUUUUAAAUCCAUAUUCCACCUUGUGUGCAAUGUCGGUCGAUCUUCUUUUUUUGAGGAUCGACCAAACAUCAACCUUUAUUUUUUAACUCUUUGUCUGAAAAAUAUUAUGAAUAAACAAUUCAAAAUA